rnacentral:rRNA from 1 species
ACUCCUACGGGAGGCAGCAGUGGGGAAUAUUGCACAAUGGGCGCAAGCCUGAUGCAGCCAUGCCGCGUGUAUGAAGAAGGCCUUCGGGUUGUAAAGUACUUUCAGCAGUGAGGAAGGUGGAUAUGUUAAUAGCAUAUUCUAUUUGUACGUUAGCUGCAGAAGAAGCACCGGCUAACUCCGUGCCAGCAGCCGCGGUAAUACGGGAGGGUGCGAGCGUUAAUCGGAAUUACUGGGCGUAAGCGCAUGCAGGUGGUUUGUUAAGUCAGAUGUGAAAGCCCGGGGCUCAACCUCGGAAUUGCAUUUGAAACUGGCAAACUAGAGUACUGUAGAGGGGGUAGGAAUUUCAGGUGUAGCGGUGAAAUGCGUAGAGAUCUGAAGGAU